UUCGCCCUUUUCCGGUUGAUCCUGCCGGACCUGACUGCUAUCGGAUUGAUACUAAGCCAUGCGAGUCAUUGUAGCAAUACAAGGCAGACGGCUCAGUAACGCGUAGUCAACCUACCCUAUGGACGGGGAUAACCUCGGGAAACUGAGAAUAAUACCCGAUAGAACACUAUACCUGGAAUGGUUUGUGUUCCAAAUAAUUUAUUGCCAUAGGAUGGGACUGCGGCCUAUCAGUUUGUUGGUGAGGUAAUGGCCCACCAAGACUAUUACAGGUACGGGCUCUGAGAGGAGUGGCCCGGAGAUGGGUACUGAGACACGGACCCAGGCCCUAUGGGGCGCAGCAGGCGAGAAAACUUUGCAACGUGCGAAAGCA
rnacentral:rRNA from 1 species